rnacentral:rRNA from 1 species
GACGAACGCUGGCGGCGUGCUUAACACAUGCAAGUCGAACGGAAAGGCCCUGCUUGCCGGGUACUCGAGUGGCGAACGGGUGAGUAACACGUGGGUGCUCUGCCCUGCACUUCGGGAUAAGCUUGGGAAACUGGGUCUAAUACCGGAUAGGAGCCAUCUUUAGUGUGGUGGUUGGAAAGUUUUUUCGGUGUAGGAUGAGCUCGCGGCCUAUCAGCUUGUUGGUGGGGUAAUGGCCUACCAAGGCGGCGACGGGUAGCCGGCCUGAGAGGGUGUACGGCCACAUUGGGACUGAGAUACGGCCCAGACUCCUACGGGAGGCAGCAGUGGGGAAUAUUGCACAAUGGGCGCAAGCCUGAUGCAGCGACGCCGCGUGGGGGAUGAAGGCCUUCGGGUUGUAAACUCCUUUCGCUAGGGACGAAGCUUUGUUGUGACGGUACCUAGAGAAGAAGCACCGGCUAACUACGUG